CCUACGGGAGGCAGUAGUGAGGAAUAUUGGUCAAUGGGCGGGAGCCUGAACCAGCCAAGUCGCGUGAGGGAAGACGGUCCUACGGAUUGUAAACCUCUUUUGCCGGGGAGCAACGGGGUCCUUGCGAGGGCCCAAUGAGAGUACCCGGAGGAAAAGCAUCGGCUAACUCCGUGCCAGCAGCCGCGGUAAUACGGAGGAUGCGAGCGUUAUCCGGAUUUAUUGGGUUUAAAGGGUGCGUAGGCGGGCUAUUAAGUCAGCGGUCAAAUGUCGGGGCUCAACCCCGGCCUGCCGUUGAAACUGGCGGCCUCGAGUGGGCGAGAAGUAUGCGGAAUGCGUGGUGUGGCGGUGAAAUGCAUAGAUAUCACGAAGAACUCCGAUUGCGAAGGCAGUUCACUGGACUGCAACUGACACUGAGGCUCGAAAGUGUGGGUAUCAAACAGGAUUAGAUACCCGGGUAGUC
rnacentral:rRNA from 1 species